rnacentral:rRNA from 1 species
AUUGAACGCUGGCGGCAUGCCUUACACAUGCAAGUCGAACGGUAACAGGUCUUCGGAUGCUGACGAGUGGCGAACGGGUGAGUAAUGCAUCGGAACGUGCCCAGUAGUGGGGGAUAGCCCGGCGAAAGCCGGAUUAAUACCGCAUACGACCUGAGGGUGAAAGGGGGGGAUCGCAAGACCUCUCGCUAUUGGAGCGGCCGAUGUCAGAUUAGCUAGUUGGUGGGGUAAAGGCCUACCAAGGCAACGAUCUGUAGUUGGUCUGAGAGGACGACCAGCCAGACUGGGACUGAGACACGGCCCAGACUCCUACGAGAGGCAGCAGUGGGGAAUUUUGGACAAUGGGCGCAAGCCUGAUCCAGCAAUGCCGCGUGCAGGAAGAAGGCCUUCGGGUUGUAAACUGCUUUUGUCAGGGAAGAAAUCUUCUGGGUUAAUACCUCGGGAGGAUGACGGUACCUGAAGAAUAAGCACCGGCUAACUACGUGCCAGCCGCCGCGGUAAUAC